rnacentral:rRNA from 1 species
UACGUAGGUGGCUAGCGUUGUCCGGAUUUACUGGGCGUAAAGAGCGCGCAGGCGGUCGUUCAAGUCGAGUGUGAAAGCCCCCGGCUCAACUGGGGAGGGUCACUCGAUACUGAUCGACUUGAAGGCGGGAGAGGGAAGCGGAAUUCCCGGUGUAGUGGUGAAAUGCGUAGAUAUCGGGAGGAACACCAGUGGCGAAGGCGGCUUUCUGGACCGUUCUUGACGCUGAGGCGCGAAAGCUAGGGUAGCAAACGGG